UACGGAGGGAGCUAGCGUUGUUCGGAAUUACUGGGCGUAAGCGCACGUAGGCGGCUUUGUAAGUUAGAGGUGAAAGCCCGGGGCUCAACCCCGGAAUUGCCUUUAAGACUGCAUCGCUUGAAUCCGGGAGAGGUGAGUGGAAUUCCCGAGUGUAGAGGUGAAAUUCGUAGAUAUUCGGAAGAACACCAGUGGCGAAGGCGGCGUCACUGGACCGGUAUUGACGCUGAGGUGCGAAAGCGUGGGGAGCAAACAGG
rnacentral:rRNA from 1 species